CACACGGCAGCCUGCUGCCUUGGAAAAACUCCUCGUCCUACACAAAUCAGUGAAUCAAGUGACAAAAGAACAAUGAAACAAAAUAAUGAGCACAGUUGAGAGAGCAGAAGAGAGACAGAGAGAACUUCGAAAGAAGAAGACGUUCAUUAGGACCAACCUGCUUCCAGAGUGCAGAUGUUCCAUUCUCGAGACGUCUCCAGCAGCAAACCUAAAGUCUCCUGUAUACAACACGUUCCCUUGGGAUCCCUCGAACAGGAACCUACAGACAGACGCACACCAUUUCAGACUUUUCAUGUUAGGAUGUCUUAACAAUUACCUUUUCAAAAAACAUAAAUAAAUAAAGUAAAGCUUUGUCACAUGACA